AAAAAUCACAGAGAGAGAAAAAUAGUGAUAAAAAGGAACAAUGUCCUACUCUUACCCUCUUAAGUUUAUAGAUAGCUUUUCUACUUAUGAAUUCUAUCAUCAUAUGAAAUUCAACAUACCUUAAACCAAAUUCUCUAUUUUCCCUCUCAAAGCAGCCUUCCUGAUUAGGGUCCUUUUUUUUUUUUUCAGAUUUAUUCUCAUAGCUACCUAAGCACAAAACCCAGGAGUCAUUUAUUACUGCCGCCUCUUCCAUACACUCAUAUCCAAUCAGUAAUCAAGUCCUGUUGUUUCUGCCUUCAAAAUAAUUUUUAUAUCUUUCCCUUUUGGUUACCAUGGAUACCAUCGAAUCUCUCUUUUUGCUUCAUGCCUGGACAACUGCAGUAACUUCUGAGUCUCUUGGCUCCAAUCUACCCUGAAUACAGCUGCUGCUAGAAUAAUUUCUUUCAUCAUGUCACAACUCUACCCAGAAACCUUCAGUAGCUUCUCACUGUUCUCAUUUAAAGUCCAAAUUCUUUAAAAUAACUUGCAUGACCUUCCAUAAUAUGACCAUAUUUAAAGGAUCCCUUCUAAUUUACAUGGUUCCUUUGUGUAAAACUGGGAAAGCACACACACUUUGGGCAUAGGAAGCCUGGAGAUUUAAAGGUUAGUAAGUGAAACU
rnacentral:lncRNA from 1 species